rnacentral:misc_RNA from 1 species
CAGUCCGUGAAGAAGCUUAGUUUUAAAUCCCUAAAGCGCGCGCUCGAUCUCUUCUCUCCAAUUCACGACCAGCUAGCUCCUUCCGAUCCCGAAAGUAAAAAUAUUCGCUUGAGCCACAAGAUAAAUGCUGAGUACAAAGGAAUUAAAAGCUCAAAUGAACUUCCAAGACCAGUUAUUUCUACUACAACCGAUCGUGGCAAUCAAUCUUCAGUGCCUUCGAAUGUUCUCGCUCUUCCAGGGCCUGAUGAUUCUAGGGACUCGCAGAAGGGUGCGGCUCAAAAUGCAUUGGUUGUUGGUCCAUCUGUGCAACCGAAGGGACCGUGAGUGCUCUUCAUCCUUCCCUACCUUAUAUUCCUCCAUGCAUUUUUUCUUAGGAAGAUUUUGUGGAUAGUGAUGUUUCAUCUUAUUAUCAUUACCUUUUUCACAUCUCUCACUGCCUAUUCUUUUUUCAUUCAUCUCUGCUAUCGUUAUUGUUUUCUAGAGAAAACUUUUGCUAUUGAUGCUAGUUACUUUUAUGGUUCUUUUUUCAGAAAUGACCUUGGGCCACAGGGCAAAAGCACUGCAGUGAUUUCUGGUCUUGGAUCAUCUGAAAGGUUCUCUACAUCUGCUAUAAUGGAAAGGAUCCCAAGCAAAUGGCCACGUCCUGUGUGGCAUCCUCCAUGGAAGAACUACAGGGUCAUAAGUGGCCAUUUGGGAUGGGUGAGAUCUAUCGCAUUUGAUCCAAGUAAUUCAUGGUUUUGUACUGGUUCUGCAGAUCGCACAAUUAAGAUAUGGGAUGUAGGAAGUGGAAGGUUGAAGCUCACAUUGACUGGACACAUUGAACAAAUCCGAGGUCUUGCUGUCAGCCAAAGACAUACCUAUAUGUUUUCUGCUGGUGAUGACAAACAGGUGAAAUGCUGGGACCUUGAACAGAACAAGGCUGUCCGGUCUUAUCAUGGCCAUUUAAGUGGUGUCUAUUGCUUGGCUCUUCAUCCCACUAUUGACCUUUUGCUAACUGGGGGGCGUGACUCUGUUUGCCGGGUCUGGGAUGUUCGAACAAAAGUUCAAGUUUUUGCACUGUCUGGGCAUGAUAAUACAGUAUGCUCAGUUUUUACUCGACCAACGGAUCCACAAGUCGUCACUGGUUCCCAUGACACAACCAUUAAAUUCUGGGAUCUAAGAUAUGGUAAGACUAUGUUAACACUCACACACCACAAGAAAUCUGUUCGAGCCAUGGCACUGCAUCCUACUGAGAAUUGCUUUGCCUCUGCAUCAGCUGACAACAUAAAGAAAUUCAGCCUUCCAAAGGGAGAAUUCUUGCACAACAUGCUCUCUCAGCAGAAAACAAUCAUCAAUGCAAUGGCUAUCAAUGAGGAUGGUGUAAUGGUUACAGGAGGUGUGAACUAUCUCUAUAUAAAUGAAAUUGAUAAUAAUUGGUGCACUAUGAAUUAUCAUCUGAGUUCUACUUGGCGUUAUAUGUCAUGAUGUGAUAAUUGGCAUCUGGAGCUGACUAUGGAUUGCAGGCUGGGAAUAGUAAGGCCAACAUCCAGUGUCAGCCCAAGUGGUGUAAUCAUUGGCCAUAAAAGCAGGAAUUUGCCCCUCUAUAUCUUAUAAAGAUCUGAAUCACUAUGUUGGGAUUAUGUUGGUCUGUACAAUAUCAAUUCUUAAGCUGAUCCAAAUGUAGUUAGGCCUUAGGUUUGGGCUGCAGGCAACCUGGCCCCUGAUGACCAGUUGACCACUAACAAGUUUACCUAUUCCAUUUUGACUUUUUUGUAGAACAUUUGGCCUAAAGUUGAUUCAAUUUUGUUUGAAUGGAUGGGAGGAGCAAAGUCCCAUUUUGACUUAUUUUUUGUCAUUGUUUGCCCUAAAUGUUAUUGUAGGUGAUAAUGGGAGUCUGUGGUUCUGGGAUUGGAGGAGUGGUCAUAAUUUCCAGCAAGCCCAAACAAUUGUACAGCCUGGCUCAUUGGAUAGUGAAGCUGGUAUUUAUGCACUCUCAUAUGAUAUAACUGGUUCAAGGCUUGUUUCAUGUGAGGCAGACAAGACUAUUAAAAUGUGGAAAGAGGAUGAAACUGCAACCCCAGAAACUCAUCCCCUCAACUUCAAGCCACCUAAAGAUAUCCGGCGGUUCUAGUGGUGAUGUUGCUUUUUCGGUAUUUCACAGGUUGGUGAUAUAUCAUAUGAAAACAUGGCAAAUGGGGUUCUUGUUGGUCUACAUAAAUGAACAUGGGGUUAAAUAUAACUUUCUCAACAUUGAUAGAGCAGAAUCGGAUGGAACUACACAAUCGUGUUUCUGUACAAGCACGUAGCAUGAUGUAUCAAAUACCGAGUCGUUUUGUGAUCUUGAAGCUACCAAAAAGAAUGUAAAUUUUUACGUCACCCCAUGUAACUAGCAUAAAAUCCCAAAUUCGGGAACGAGAUUGUAUUAGUUGUUUCCAAGAAUUUAUGUAUUAGUGCGUUCCUUUUGAUGGAUCAAGUAGUGUGAUGAUUCAUAGUUCCUGUCUAUGAUAUUUAACUUGGAUAUUCCAACCUGAUACAGUGAUACCUUUAACUUCGCAAUUUUUUUUUUCCUAUUGAAAUU